UUAGUGAGUGUAGUGUUCUUUACUUAUUCCCCUUCUUUAUCUUAGCAAAUAUUCGUUUUGUGCAUCUGACAGUGUCAGAAAUGGAUUCAGGGAUACUCCGAGAGAAAAUGGAAUGACGUUUCACGGGUGUGCAAAGCACGCUGUGUUAUUUAUCCAUAAUUCAGUGCAUUAUCGGUUGACGAGUUUAGCCAGCAGUAGGGAAGCGUCCUCUUCAAACACGUCUUAUAUUUUCGGUACAUUACCGUGGCACCUCCGUUGCGUAGAGCAGCAGGCUCUUGUAGCAGCGAGAAAGUGUUCCAUUUUUGAAGAGGAACCUGUUGUACAUGACUUGGAACCAUUUUUGAAGAGGACCUGUUGUAGUACAGGGCUUGGAAUCGCGAACAAUUAUAACGGGAACUUCCAGAAAGAGGUAUUCGAUCAAAAUUCCUAUUGUUCUGUAUUCGCUGUUUGGAGUGAACACUUAUCUCGUACAGAAAUGAUGAUGAAGAGGAUAUAACCAUCUGGAAAAGAUUGCCAGGGUACGUGAACAGUGUUUUGUCUUAAUUCGACCUUUGACUUCGUGCGUGUUUGAAGGACUCACAAAAAUUACCAAAGCGGUUGCAGUGGACAGCUUUACAUUCAGCAUCUAUAGCUGAUGUGCUGCCUCCCUUAAGCCAAGCGUCCCUUUAUGGGCUCGACUGACGACGGCCUCGCGAGACCGUGGACUCUGUUGAUGGGCAGGAACCGUAAAAUUUUUAUUGUUAUUGAUCAGAGUCCCGUAAAGGACUGAAGGCAG